CACGAAGCUUAAGGAGCUACUUAUUAUAAGUUAUUAGACUAUUCAUGGUGUUGCAGAACUUUAAAUAAUGUUAAGUAGAGGCGAAAGGCUUGGCACAUCUAGCGAUAUCUUGUUUUUUGGAAAAUGUAUAUAGUACGUAAACAAUUAAGUGGCGGUCAGGUCGCUUAAAAAGAUAAAAUAUUGUUUUGCGUGUGUAAAGUAUAAAGACUAUUAUUUUAUUAAUUUACGAUUUAUGUAUUAUGUUUAUCUCAGUUACCAAAAGGUAUUAAAUCGUGUGAAAUAACCAUAAUGUUACUAUUAGUAAUUGUUAAAUACCUCUCAUGAACUCGGCAAAUAGUUUCUCAACUGUUUAUCAAAAACAUAGUCAUGUGGAAAGGUAUGUGGUAACUUCUGCUCAAUGAAAUAAAUAGCUGCAGUACUCUGACUGUGCUAAGGUAGCGCAAUCAAUUGACUUUUAAUUGAAGUCCUGAAUGAAAGAAUGUAUGGGGAACGACUUUAUUAGAGAUUGGUCAUGAAAUUAACUAGUAAGUGCAAAAGCUUACAUAUUAACAACAGACGAGAAGACCCUAGAAAUUUUAAAGAACAAGAGGUUUGCGUACUUUUUGUUGGGGCAACAAAGUAACAUAUAACUUACUUGUGUGACUAGAAAAGCGUUUUGGGUAAGAUGAAAUUACUCUAGGGAUAACAGCAUAAUUCAUAAAGUUUAUGACCUCGAUGUUGGACUAGGGUGUGGUUGUUUAGAA
rnacentral:rRNA from 1 species